rnacentral:tRNA from 1 species
AAUGUGUUGGCAGAAAAUUGUGUUGGUUUUAGGGAUCUAUUAUGUGUAACUAUUCACACACAUUA